rnacentral:lncRNA from 1 species
UUGGCGUGGUAGUUAGCUGCAGGAGGGAAGGAAGGUAAGGUGGUUACUGUGUCAUGAAUUUGAAUAUCACCCAUCUCAAAAGGCUGUUCUUACUUUUUUGCCUGUGGUAUUAAUCCCUGAGAUCUAUCCUACCUCAAGAAGUUGUAAUAAGAAGCCAGUGUGUUAUUAAAACAAUGCUGAUUGGAGAUGUGCGCUGAAUAAUUUUGAAUGGAAUUAUAAGGAAGAAAAAAAGAAAAGAAAAGAUCAUGUAACUAUAAAAGUUCAUCCAUCCAGAAGAUAGCUUGAGAGGGAGGCUGUGUGGCCCCGGGAUGUUCAGCAUCCCCAGAUGACAGGGUUCUCACUCCGUGUUUAUAGCAUCUGAACACUCAGAAGGCCUAUGUGCCUAUGAUGUCAAUCUAUCUGUUCCCGCCUCCCCUCCCCCUCCCCCCAUUUACGUAGCACCAGUUAUUUUAAAGUAAGUCAAGAAGCUGAGGGCAGAGCUUGAUGGUGGCACAGGUGUCUGACAUGCGUGCAGCCUUGGCUUUCAGCCCCAGUGCCAUAGGGAAAAGAAUUAAACCUCUCUGUGCCUUGGGAUGUAGCUCAUUUUGUGUAGCUCAUUCCUAGCACACAGGAAGCCCUGGGUUCAAAUCCCAGCCCCGAUUAAAUACAGCCACUCAGUGCAAGCAUUCUGAAGGUACAGCAGAAGGGUCAUUCUAGGCUACCCAGGGAUUGGAGGCCAACCUCCAAUGAAACUAUGCUUCAAAAAGUUAAAAUAAAUUGUAAUAUGUGGACCUCCCUACAAACAGCCUGCCCUUUUAUUGAAAUGACUCAGAUGUGCAGUGAAAUUGCCUUAAUCCCUAGAUAUUUGAGAAAAUGUAUUCAUGCCUUUAUCUUUACAUUUUAUUUCCGACGACGUAUACAUCUUUAGGAUACAAUGUGGUGUUCCUAUCUAUGCGUAAAAAUAUUGAGCCUCACCGAUAGUGGAUAAAAGGUAGUCACUGAAACCCACCGCCCACUGCACAUGAAACUUCACACCCUUUGGGAAAUGGUCUUCCCUUUCUACCCUUGUCCCCCCAGGCUCCGGUAGCCAGCUUGAUAUUUUCUGUUCCCUUCUCAAACAGUCACUUGCGUUUGAAAAGCUGGGGAACUAGAUUCAAGUGACGUCACUUGAUAGCUGUUUGACUCUGAUUUAGCCACUGAUUUUCCCCCUUUGACUUGUGUUGAAAUGAGUCAAACAAGAGGAAUGUUUACUAAGAAUUACCCUUUUGAAAAGAAAACAGUAUUCACAUUGAGAGAUUCAGUAACCUGCCCUGUGAGGAAACUGAGCAUCUGCUCAGCUGGGCUCACCCAGGAGUCAGGGGCUGGGUGGGGAGUGAAGGACGCAUUCCACCCUGUGGCUCCUGGGAGGAUCAUGCAGAGAGGACAGUGACCUCUGGGAGAGACGACAGCCAACAAGUCUAAUGUGGUUGCUGUAUGCCUUAUCUCACUUAGGCCUACGACAAAUCCACGGCGUAUGCUAGAGACAGAGCAGAUGUUCUAAGACACUGAGGCCCCCAACCAUCUGCAGAGGCUGUAGCCACAGAGCUUGGAACUUGCCUGGGGCUCCCAUUCCUGCAGAACAUGUGCAGGGUGUCAUCUUGCCUAUUCUAAUCUUUCUACAUGCAUGCUUCAAACCUCUGCUCUACCAGACUCUGCCCUCCAUGAGAACAGGAGCCUCAGCCAACCUACUUCUCACUUACAGACUCUAGCACAGGUGUGCUGUCGGAGCUAGGGUCCUGGGUAGGGUGCAGGCCCCAGUGGAUGAUGUGAGUGAAUGCUUGCCAUCAUUACUAAAUCAUCUACAGGCCGGACAUGAACCCGGGUUUAACAUGCUUAGCCUCGGGCUUCCUGUAGCAGUAACAAAAGGGAGAAGGUACAGGAAGGGAUUCUUGUGACUUUGUUUGUAGAUCCAGCACAUGUACCGCUGUGCGCGCGUCCAGGGCCUGGACACCAGUGAGGGGCUGCUUCUCUUCGGGAAAGAGCAUUUCUAUGUGAUCGAUGGGUUCACCAUGACUGCCACCAGGGAAAUAAGGGACAUUGAAACCUUACCUCCAAAGUAAGUAAAUGCGCAAGGGGACACCAAGUAAAGCUGCCUCGAGAGGACAGCCAAUGUAUUUGCAUUGCUCCUUAAUCCCAAACGCACGUCCUAAGACAUGUCACCUCCCCGUCCGUAUGAGCCUCUGACACUGCCAUGUCCUAAGUCACCUCCCAGUCUCUCUGUGCCUCGCCUGGGGCAGUGCUGUCCUUUCCACUAAAGAGAAAGUAUUCUUCAAAUGAAAAUUGCAUUUUAUGUCUUUGUAUCAUUAGCAUUAUAUACCAAAUUAUAGUCAUGGUUAACCUACUGUUUAGUUAGUUUCUCUCGUGCUGUGAUAAACAGCACACCCAGAAAGCAACUUAGGGGGAGAAGGUUAAUUUGCCUUCUGUUUUCCCCGACAGAAUCCCUCGUUGAGGGAAGUCAGGGCAGAAAUUAGAGGAGCACUGCCUAUUGGCUCCUCACUCAGCUGGCUUUCUUAUACAGCCUACAACCUACCUAGGGGAUGGCACCGCCCAUGGUGAGCUGGCCCCUCUGACACAAUCACUAAUCAUGAAAAUAACCUGCAGAUAUGCCCAAGGACUGAUCUUAUGGACGUUUUCACAAUUGACUCUAGCUGUGGCAAGUUAAUAAAACAACUAACUAACAUAGCUAUACACUUAAAAGCUCAUUCUGAAUUUGCAAGAUCAGUUUUGAAAUCAUUGCUACAGAGGUUGGAGAGAUAGCAGGAGGGUAAAGGUGUUUUCUACACAUACAUGAGAGCCUGAGUUCAGAUCCCAGUCUCCACCCCACCUCACCACUCCCCCCCCCC